UACAGAGGGUGCAAGCGUUGUUCGGAAUUAUUGGGCGUAAAGCGCGUGUAGGCGGCUUUGCAAGUCGGGUGUGAAAGCCCUCAGCUUAACUGAGGAAGUGCGCCCGAAACUGCAUAGCUUGAGUACCGGAGAGGAUGGUGGAAUUCCCGAAGUAGAGGUGAAAUUCGUAGAUAUCGGGAGGAACACCGGUGGCGAAGGCGACCAUCUGGACGGAUACUGACGCUGAGACGCGAAAGCGUGGGUAGCAAACAGG
rnacentral:rRNA from 1 species